CCUAUUUAUAAGUAUGAGACUUUUUAUCUGGGUAAUGUUUUUAAUGAUCAUAAUUGUUAACAUGUAAUAGUAUAAUACUACCUCUUGCAAUAGGCAGCAUCACUGAUCCUUAUCAGUGAUGGUACCCAACAAGAUAAGAACUUUUUUGUAAGAUUUUAUGUUUACUUGUAGUUGCUAACAUGCCAGACAACUACUAGUUAUUUUACUUACUAUAAAUACCGGGUCACUUCUUUUCCCGUGAAACUGUAAUUGUUUACUUUUUCCAGGAUAAUUACAUUGGCAUUGAAGUUUACUAGCAAGGAUGAUGCGAUAAGCACAGUCUGGCAUUCCUGACGCGCUUGGUUUAACAACAUAGGGUAUUAGAUUGGAGUGAAUAUGAUGAGCUCCUAUGGAAAAUGCACAUGGAAUCACGAUCACCCCCUUCUUUUAACAAAUUUAAUACAUUCGAUAAUGAGCAGUUUCAGCUGCAUUUUAUGGAUAUUGCUGCCAAUAUGGAACAACAUUCCAUCCACUGAUCAAGUAUAUAGUGAUAAUUCAGAAUAAAAUUUGAAAAUUAAAUGAAACCUUAUACUUUAAAAGACAUGUCAAAAGCGCUCUUGUAAUGCCAGAGUUCUUUAUGAUUUUAAAAAAUUUUCUUUUGUAAAAACGUUCACAUUUAUAUCUACAUUGAAAAAUACUAAACAUUCUGGAAUACAUUUUUAUUAUGGAGGGAAAAGAAGUGUAAACAAAUUA